rnacentral:tRNA from 1 species
GGAUUGUGGCUCAGUGGUAGAGUACUCACCUAGCAUGUGUGAGGCCCUGGGUUCGAUCCUCAGCACCA